CGAGGCUUUCGUCCAACAGGAAAACUCUCCCCCUCCCUGCAUCAACAUGGAUGUUUACAUGGUGAGAAAGGUGUGUGCGGGUGAAUGAUGGCUGCGGUCCCCACACAAUGACGAGCCAAAGAGACAGUUACAGGACCAGUCAGUCCAGCUGACAGACUGGCAUGCCCAUCUCUGCCAACAGCAAUUAAAUGUAAGAAUCCUUGACCUGAAUAUGUCUUCAUCCACCAAUAAUAAAAUCAGGCUUUAUGCUGAACAGCAAUAACAGGAAAACUAUGUGAGCAUACUGUGUGUGCUGUCUAUGUUGGCUCUGACAGCUACAUUUAAUUUGGAACCCAUCUAUUUUAGAUUAUCAGUGAAAUUUUCAAGUCUGUGGUACAUUUAAAAGUAAUUCACUGGAGUUUUAAUCUGAUGCUUUGAUCAUUUCAUGUACAUUCAAAUAAGCUGUUUUUGUGGUUCAAAUAAAUUUCGAGUUUCAAAAGAUUUUAAUUUGAAAUUACAAAAUGUUUCGCAAUGUUGUGAACUACUGGUGUGUUUGUGCAGUGCCUAGUAGCUGUGUUAAUACCCCUCAACCUUUUGCAUAUUUUGUCACAGUGCAUAUACAAACUUCAAUGUCAGUCAGUCAGUCAGUCAUUUUCUACCGCUUAUUCCAUAGUGGGUCGCGGGGAAGCUGGUGCCUAUCUCCAGCAGUCUAUGGGCAAGAGGCGGGGUAUACCCUGGACAGGUCGCCAGUCCAUCGCAGGGCAACAAACUUCAAUGUAUUUUUUUGAUUGUUAUGUGGUAGAUCACCAUAAGGUAGUGCACAAUUAUUAAGUGAAAGGAAUAUAUAUAUAUAUAUAUAUUUUAUUACAGCUAAAUAUCUAAAAAGUGUGGCAUACAUUUGUAUUCAGUCUCUCAAGUCAAGACUUUGUACAAACUGUCAGGGAUCUAGUGGGUUUAUGUCUGUGCUCUCUUCCUCCCUCUCCUGGAGCUACAGGGUACUUUGAACGGUGAGGCUGAGCUGCUGAGUUUCUGUACACGUGCUUCUAAUCAGCUACAGCAGUCUUAGCACUGGAGCUGAAGAGGAGCUGGCUGCACCUGGGUGUCAACCAUAGUGGUUCACUCCUGGAUUCUACUUGGCUCCUCACCUCCAUGGAGGAACAAAUCUCCUUAGUCAAGUUCAACAGUUUAAUUUCCUCUCGGAUCUCAGCUCCCAUGAUCGGCCACCAUCAGGCAAACUGCCUUCUUUCCACAAUAGCUAUCUUCUGUCCUCUUUUGCAUAAAGGCCGUAUUUGUGGAGAGCAAAACAGAUUCUCCCACCUCAGCUGUGGUUCUCUGCUGCUUCUCCUUAGUUUCUGAACAACCCUCAGAGGCACAAAACAGGUUAAAUGGGAAUGUGCAAAUGGCUGACUUCUGCAGUGGUUUUAUUUAGCAGUAUCAGAGAAGGUGCUAAAAACAUAUCCAUGGCAGACUUUUAAGACAUUAAUUUGUGAAAAACAUUUAAAAACCAUGUCCCAUUUUCCUUCCACUUCACAAUUAUGUGAUUCUCAGUGUUGGUCUCAUAAACCCUCAAAAAACAUUGGUGUUUGAAGUAGUUGACAUCAUUUGAAAAGCUUAGGAUGCUUCCUGCUAUUUAAAGGGCAUACUAUAUUCCUUCUGCAUGUCCUGAUUUAAGGAAUAAACCAGCCUUUUGUACUGUAUCUUCCUUCAACAAGACACUAUCUUUAUCAUCACAAAAGCAUUUAGCAUGUUAUGAAAUUGUCCAACAGGGAGAGAAUGAGAUGAAUUUCAGAUUUUAAACUUUAGAAAAACACUUGUUCCAAAACAUUUUUGAUCUACGAAACAUCUUUCAAUACAUUCCUUUCUGCCAGCCUGAGCACAUCCACUAUCCUUAGACUUUAAGACUGUGAAUCAGACUGCAUUGCAUUAUCAUAGACUGCUUUCUGAUAUUCAAUUAGAGAGGCCCUUACAUAUGAUUCAUUGCUGCCACAAUAAAAAAGAUCUCCAGAAAUAAACAUUUGAUGGCAAGACAUUUUGUCUUCUUUCCUUGAUGAAUCAACAGUUUGACAGAAUUUAUUACUGUUUUAAUACUAUCCAUAAAACAAGAUGACCAACACCAUAUCACCACUGAAAGGGAUUUGACCUCAUUACAAUCGCGGUUAGUCUGCAGCCACAAUAGUCAUAUCUGCAAAAUCUGUGAAAAUUUCCAGCUGUCCCAAGGCCAAGUUUAGUGCUAUUCUUAUUUUCUAGAGGUACCAAAUGGUUCUAGAGAAAGAUAAGGGGCAUGUUUUUGAAGAAUCAAGUGUCAGUGGUUCUGAACUUGUUAUUAAAGUUCAACAUGGAAAACAUUUCAGGAGCGUUUGGCUGGGAUCUUGGAUCUCUUCUCACAACCUAGUUGAUUGCCAUCCUAACACAUCAUAGCCACAAGGGAAGGAUAAAGUACUUUGAUUCUCAACCAGGAUCAAAUCAGAGAAAAGCGGGUAGAAAUCUACCCUGAAAUAAGCCCAAGAUGUAGGACUUUUUGAAUUGACUCUUAAACUAAAAAUGGAGCUUUGUGUUGGGAGGAAGCUAAACCUUUCUCACUGGUUAAACAUCCCUAACAUGUUCUUCAGCCACCUCCUAGUUUGUCUUCCUUUGCAGCACAUAUUUUAUGUUAACUUUAAAUUGCAUGACCAGAGUUCUGUAUUGUUGUUUGCAAACACAUAUAAACCCAGCCACUUGUACUGAAUACCAGAGUGUUUUACAGAGUUUACAUGCAAAUAUGUGGAUAAGACUCAGCAACCUUUGUGGAAACACUAAAUGAAAGGAAGCGCAGACUUCUGCAUUCAGCUUAACUGCAAAUAUGGCUAGAGAGAGAGAAAUGCUCUCAUGAAAGCCUUUUUUAGAGAUUUUAGCUGGUAAAGUAAAAACAAAUUCAGCAUUUCUGUUUUGAGAUACAGAUUAAAACAAACACAACGGCCCAGGAUUGUUCAUCAUUCACCGAUUAUAGUUUCGAAUAAAGCAGACACAUCAUUGUAGCAGAUUCCCGGUUCUCACAGCUACACUGCAUCAGUUCAUCGUUUACCUGGUUCAUAUUAUGUAAUCCCUCAUGCCUAUGUACAUGGUCUUUUCAGCUCUUUGACAGAUCCUUCUGUCAAGCUCUGUCAAGUUCCUCUUUUUGUAAGUUUUCUUUAUUAAAGACAUAUUUUCACCCA